CCCUUAGAUGUCCUGGGCCGCACGCGCGUUACACUGAUGCAUUCAACGAGCUUAUAACCUUGGCCGAGAGGCCUGGGCAAUCUUGUUAACGUGCAUCGUGAUAGGGAUAGAUUAUUGAAAUUAUUAAUCUUGAACGAGGAAUUCCUAGUAAACGCAGAUCAUCAAUCUGCAUUGAUUACGUCCCUGCCCUUUGUACACACCGCCCGUCGCACCUACCGAUUGGAUGGUCCGGUGAAGCCUCGGGAUUGUGGUUCUUGCCGCUUAUUGUGGCGUGACCGCGAGAACUUGUCUAAACCUUAUCAUCUAGAGGAAGGUGAAGUCGUAACA
rnacentral:rRNA from 1 species